UACGGGAGGCAGCAGUGGGGAAUAUUGCACAAUGGGCGCAAGCCUGAUGCAGCGAUGCCGCGUGGAGGAAGAAGGUUUUCGGAUUGNAAACUCCUUAUCUGAGGGANGAUAAUGACGGUACCUCANGANAAAGCUCCGGCUAACUACNUGCCAGCAGCCGCGGUAAU
rnacentral:rRNA from 1 species